rnacentral:lncRNA from 1 species
AUAGGAGAUAAAGGAUUUGCAGUCCCCUACCUUACCACUUGGCCAUGCCGUCAAAUCUUAUAAAAAAUGGACAAUAUUUUUAUCCAUCUAUAUUCAGACUGCUAUUGGAUUGAUUGAUGUUGAUAACUUAUCUGGAUAAAAAAAAAGGCAGAAAAAAAAAGAAGGCAUCCUAUUGGCUCAUCUGCAUCAAUGGUUGCAAACUAGCCUGCAAAGAAGUGAAGUCUCGCCUAGGAAACCUAUGGCAGAAGUA